GCCAGAAAGGUAUCUGGAGCUGCACUGAAAAUGUGUGCUAUGGGACUUGCAUGAUAUAUGGAAGUGGCCAUUAUAUCACCUUUGAUGGAAAAUUCUAUGACUUUGAUGGAAGUUGUGAAUAUGUGGCUACUCAGGAUUAUUGUGGUGACAAAAAUUCUGGUGGCUCAUUCAGUAUCAUCACAGAGAAUGUCCCUUGUGGAACUACAGGAGUCACCUGCUCAAAGGCCAUUAAAAUGUUUAUAGG